rnacentral:ribozyme from 1 species
AUAUGAUUCAAGACCAAAAAAAAAAGAACCCCUUCAUAAGAAGGGUGUUUCUUUUUCUUCAAACUACGGCAACAACAACUCUUUUUUUUUUUGGUUUUUUUGUUUUUGUUUU